rnacentral:rRNA from 1 species
GAUGAACGCUGGCGGCGUGCUUAACACAUGCAAGUCGAACGGAAAGGCCAGUGCUUGCACUGGUACUCGAGUGGCGAACGGGUGAGUAACACGUGGGUGAUCUGCCUUGCACUUCGGGAUAAGCCUGGGAAACUGGGUCUAAUACCGGAUAGGACAAUGGUUUGGAUGCCGUUGUGGAAAGUUUUUUCGGUGUGGGAUGAGCUCGCGGCCUAUCAGCUUGUUGGUGGGGUAAUGGCCUACCAAGGCGUCGACGGGUAGCCGGCCUGAGAGGGUGUACGGCCACAUUGGGACUGAGAUACGGCCCAGACUCCUACGGGAGGCAGCAGUGGGGAAUAUUGCACAAUGGGCGCAAGCCUGAUGCAGCGACGCCGCGUGGGGGAUGACGGCCUUCGGGUUGUAAACUCCUUUCGCUAGGGACGAAGCGUAUUUGUGACGGUACCUGGAGAAGAAGCACCGGCUAACUACGUG